GUCCACGCCGUAAACGAUGGGUACUAGGUGCCUGGGGGAGCGACCCCUUGGGUGCCAGCGCUAACGCAGGAAGUACCCCGCCUGGGGAGUACGGCCGCAAGGCUGAAACUCAAAGGAAUUGACGGGGGCCCGCACAAGCGGUGGAGCAUGUGGUUUAAUUCGACGCAACGCGAAGAACCUUACCUAGGCUUGACAUGCAUGGGAAACUCCUCAGAAACGAGGAGCCUCCUUCGGGAUCCAUGCACAGGUGCUGCAUGGCUGUCGU
rnacentral:rRNA from 1 species